rnacentral:rRNA from 1 species
CCUGAAAGAUCCGCCUGGUGACGGAAUACCAGGUUAAAGGGAGUAGUUAUAUUUUUUACAGGCAAAUCCGUAAGAAAUGACGAACCUGAUAGUACAGCAAAGCUUCGGCAGAGCUGAUAGUGAUCCUAAUCAAACCUCCGAGAAAAACUUCUAAGUUAUGUUUAAAGCAGCCCGUACCGCAAACCGACACAGGUGGGUGGGAUGAAUAUUCUAAGGCGCUCGGGUGAGCCGUGGAGAAGGAACUAGGCAAAUUGACGCUGUAACUUCGGGAUAAAGCGUACCCUCUACGUAAGUAGAAGGUCUCAGUAAAAUGGUGCAACCAACUGUUUAGCAAAAACACAGGGCCCUGCAAAAUCGAAAGAUGACGUAUAGAGCCUGAUACCUGCCCGGUGCUGGAAGGUUAAGGAAGGGUGUUCGUCGCAAGACAAAGCUCCUGACUGAAGCCCCAGUAAACGGCGGCCGUAACAAUAACGGUCCUAAGGUAGCGAAAUUCCUUGUCGGGUAAGUUCCGACCUGCACGAAUGGUCUAAUGAGUUGCACACUGUCUCCUCCACGAGCCCGGUGAAAUUGUAGUAUCGGUGAAGAUGCCGGUUACCCGUCACGGGACGGAAAGACCCCAUGAACCUUCACUACAACUUUGCAUUGAUUUUGAAUUUUUGAUGUGUAGGAUAGUUGGGAGACUUUGAAGCGGUGUCGCUAGGCAUCGUGGAGUCAACGUUGAAAUACCAACCUUUAAACAUUUAGAAUCUAACCCGCCAAUGGUGGGCACAGUGCAUGGUGGGUAGUUUGACUGGGGUGGUCGCCUCCUAAAAUGUAACGGAGGCUUGCAAAGGUUCCCUCAGUACGGUUGGUAAUCGUACAUAGAGCGUAUUAGUAUAAGGGAGCUUGACUGUGAGACUUACAAGUCGAGCAGGGACGAAAGUCGGCUAAAGUGAUCCGGUGGUUCUGUAUGGAAGGGCCAUCGCUCAAAGGAUAAAAGGUACUCUGGGGAUAACAGGCUGAUCUCCCCCAAGAGCUCAUAUCGACGGGGAGGUUUGGCACCUCGAUGUCGGUUCGUCACAUCCUGGGGCUGGAGAAGGCCCCAAGGGUUCGGCUGUUCGCCGAUUAAAGUGGCACGUGAACUGGGUUCAGAACGUCGCAAGACAGUUCGGUCCCUAUCUGUGAUGGGCGUUAGUAAAUUGAGAGGACAUGACCUUAGUACGAGAGGACCGGGUCGUAUGUACCGCUGGUGUAUCUGUUGUGCCGCCAGGUGCAAUGCAGAGUAGCUAUGUACAGGCAGGAUAAACGCUGAAAGCAUCUAAGCGUGAAACCUUCCUCAAGAUGAGUUUACUUUUAAGGGUCGUCGAAGACUACGACGUUGAUAGGCUAUAGGUAUAAAGGUGGUAACAUCAAAGCCGAGUAGUACUAAUUACCCGUUAGCUUUAUUA